UGGGGAAUCUUGCGCAAUGGGGGAAACCCUGACGCAGCGACGCCGCGUGCGGGAUGAAGGCCUUCGGGUUGUAAACCGCUUUCAGCAGGGACGAGGCCUUAUGGUGACGGUACCUGCAGAAGAAGCUCCGGCUAAAUACGUGCCAGCAGCCGCGGUAAUACGUAUGGAGCAAGCGUUAUCCGGAUUCAUUGGGCGUAAAGCGCUCGUAGGCGGUCUGUUAGGUCGGCAAGUUAAAUCCGGGGGCUCAACCCCCGUCCGCUUCCGAUACCGGCAGACUUGAGUUUGGUAGGGGAAGGUGGAAUUCCUAGUGUAGCGGUGGAAUGCGCAGAUAUUAGGAAGAACACCGGUGGCGAAGGCGGCCUUCUGGGCCAUAACUGACGCUGAGGUACGAAAGCGUGGGUAGCAAACAGG
rnacentral:rRNA from 1 species